rnacentral:rRNA from 1 species
CNANNCUGGNNGCCUGCCUAAUACAUGCAAGUCGAGCGAAUCGAUGGGAGCUUGCUCCCUGAGAUUAGCGGCGGACGGGUGAGUAACACGUGGGCAACCUGCCUAUAAGACUGGGAUAACUUCGGGAAACCGGAGCUAAUACCGGAUACGUUCUUUUCUCGCAUGAGAGAAGAUGGAAAGACGGUUUACGCUGUCACUUAUAGAUGGGCCCGCGGCGCAUUAGCUAGUUGGUGAGGUAAUGGCUCACCAAGGCGACGAUGCGUAGCCGACCUGAGAGGGUGAUCGGCCACACUGGGACUGAGACACGGCCCAGACUCCUACGGGAGGCAGCAGUAGGGAAUCUUCCGCAAUGGACGAAAGUCUGACGGAGCAACGCCGCGUGAACGAAGAAGGCCUUCGGGUCGUAAAGUUCUGUUGUUAGGGAAGAACAAGUACCAGAGUAACUGCUGGUACCUUGACGGUACCUAACCAGAAAGCCACGGCUAACUACGUGCCAGCAGCCGCGGUAAUACGUAGGUGGCAAGCGUUGUCCGGAAUUAUUGGGCGUAAAGCGCGCGCAGGUGGUUCCUUAAGUCUGAUGUGAAAGCCCACGGCUCAACCGUGGAGGGUCAUUGGAAACUGGGGAACUUGAGUGCAGAAGAGGAAAGUGGAAUUCCAAGUGUAGCGGUGAAAUGCGUAGAGANUUUGGAGGAACACCAGUGGCGAAGGCGACUUUCUGGUCUGUAACUGACACUGAGGCG